rnacentral:lncRNA from 1 species
AUGAGCUAACAUCUGUUACCAAUCUUCCUCCUUCUGCUUGAAGAAGAUUGUCCUUGAGCUAACAUCUGUGCCAAUCUUCCUAUUUUGUAUGUGGGACACUGCCACCGCAUAGCUUGAUGAACAGUGUAGGUCAGCACCACAAUCUGAACCUGCAAACCCUGGGCUGCCGAAGCAAAAUGUGCAAACCUAACCACUUUGCCACCGGGCCAGCUCCUAGAGAGUGUACAUCUUUUAGAGGACUCAGAACAGCACUUCUUAGGAAAAAAAAAACUACAUUGCCCAGAUAUAGUGUAGGCUUUUAAAUUUAAUUUAUAUAUGACUUUUAGAAACAGUUUUGGAAAAAAUAAAAGUAUAUGCAGAAGAUCUAUUCAUUUGAUUGGGAGUGAGAACUUUUAAAUUAUACUUUCUGAGCUCAAACAGCCAGUACAUCCCCUCACCGCCAGCACUCUCCCCAUGCCUUUUCUUUCCCUGGUAACUUUGUGCUGGGCAGGAACGAAGGGGCCGAAGUUGCAAGGUCUACUUGUCAUUGUGUGCCUCCCUCUCCUCCUCCUGCCCUGACAGGAAGAAACCACGGGACCUGGGAUUUUGUAAACAGGAGGUUCUUGCUCAAUGCUCUAGGGAAGGUAAACCCAAGCCUUGGCAAAGGGGAAAACGCCUCCCAGUUUCCAAAACUGGACAGUCAGGCCUGGUUUGAACCAUGUGAUCCAGCUGCACCGGAGUAAGUCUGGGUGGCCACUGUGGCCACAUUAAAGAAAACACACAGCAACUUGAGGACAUUUCCCCUGAAGUUUUGGAUGGAAAUGCAAGUGGGAGGAGAAGCUGUGACGGGCCCCAACCUCUUACCCUCCAGGUCCCUGGUCGCCUUAGGACCUCCAGGACACACUGCUCCCACUGUGGUUUGGAAUUUGCUUGUUGAGACAAAGAGUUUGUUGAGCCUUACACAUGAAUGAAGAGCAUGUGGAGAAGUCAGCUCGCUGACCACUGCUUCCCCCAGCGAUUUCUCUCCCACAGCCCUCACCGAAAGCCCUCCGUGGAAAAAUCAAUCUCCUGGCUUUAUAUCUGCCCUCUGGCCUAGUCAGAGGUUGCCAAGCGCAAAGCACUACGGGGGACUCCUGUCGCAAAGCAAACAGGGUCUGAGCGGCCGGAAGGAGAGAGCUGCUCUUUAAAAGCUUUUAACUGCUGUUAUAUUUUAAAAACCACUUACCGAGGAGGUGAAUUAUUUUCUACUCCUCCUUCCCCAGAAGCACAGCCAUUAAGGUUACCUAGAAACCUGUCCAGGAAGCAUGUGGCAAAUAGCAACCGUGCAAUAGAAACAUCCGGAUCUGUCAUCUAAUAGGAGAUGGUAUUGGCAAGGUCAUAUUUGGGUAGAGGCGGAAUAGGAAACUUAAUGAGUUUGCACGUCCUGGCUAUUUUGGGGGCUAAUGACCUGUGGUUUAGAAGGGGGCUUUUUUCUUAACUCGUCUGGGAGGGCGCUUGGUUGGUAUAAGUUGGAAAUGAGAGAGAUUUGAGAUUGGAUGCUACUUGUCCUGGAGACUACCCCGUGGAAGGACAAAGCACAGGGAGAAUUCAAAGGCUCAGAAGGCGUGGCCUCUACUCUGGGAGAACUUCCGUCUAUUGGGGAUGUGAUGGACACAGAGGAUGACCUGAGAACAAUUCUCUUUUUAAGUUUCAGAAGCAAAAUAAUAGACCAUGAAGGAAUAUCUACUAGGGAGACGAGAUUUCAAGGUGAAGGUGAUUUUCAAUAAGGUCUUGAGAGACACUGAGGACAGCGAAGAAGAUGGGAGAAAAGCCGAGGGGGGCAACUGGCAUGGCACGUCAGCCAGGUGCCUGUGCUGAGGACGUGAAACAAAAUAACCAGAAGAUGUGUUGACAGAAUGAGAAAAGUACAGUGAUAUUUGGAUGUUUUAAUUUUCAUGAUUGUACGGGUGAAAAGGGGAGAUAACUCCUGUUUCUUCAUACCUCUAGCUCCAGACUUUUGGAAAAAAGCCUCCACAUUAUGAAACCUGUUUUUUGCUUUGUUUCUGUUUGGUUUUGUUUUGUUUUGUUGUUUUUUUUUUUUUUUUUUUUUUUUUUUUGCUGUUUCUAAAGAGCUUAUUUCUAAUGCGUAUUUCAUUUCCAACCAACACCCUUUCUAUGUCAGAUGAGGUGAUAAAAUUUGUAAUUAUAGAGAAGCAGCAAAACCCUGACUCAGCCACUUCACCGCGUAGCCAGGCCACAGACACAGGGCGUCGGGAGAGCCAGCCGCUGUGGAAAAGGCAGCAGGGAGAGGGGACCACCAAAACAACGGCGUAGGAAUAUUUGCUGCUCCGGUUCCUUUUUGCUUUACCCCAGAAUAUAUCUUUUUUCCAAUUCAGCAUGAAGAAGGGUAACUAAUGAAACUGUAAUUCUGGAGGGUAAGCUAUCUACAAAACUUGUGAAAAAUCAGCUGAAAGCCGUAAGGCGAGCUAUGGGACAAUUCCUGGACUUUCCACGCUGACUGCUUUCUGUUCAAAAGUCGUCACUUCUACCAGGGCAUCUGCGUGAGUCAGUAAAACACGGCCACAGAGGCUUGAGCAACCACGGAGAAUUAGACGCUAAAAACACAGACAGGAAAUCUCCAUAACGCAAACAAUUCUCAGGAAGGGAAGAGGAGUUCAUGAUAAAAGCCUGGCUGACAUACCACACUCCUCUCAAAUUACAGAAAACCCACGCUGUCAACCUGAGACGAUUGAGCAACCGUCUAGCCAGUCUCGCGGGCUGCCUGCGUGCUUGCCGAGAGAGCGCUGGCGUCAGCAGGCAGGGAGCGCUCACCUGAGGCCUUGGCCAGCCUUCUCCGAUGGUAGGAGGCACCUGCCCUCAGCUCCUCUGAAAACGGAUGAGGCUCUUACACACCUGCACCUGGUCUCCCCAGUGCCCUUGCGAAGGAGAGGAGGCAGGAGUUCCAAGGCUUGAAUUGGAAGUCGAAAGGCUUAGUUGCACCUCUGACGUACCGUGGUCUCAGGAAAUUCACUUGAGGCCCCUGUAAGACUCAGUCCCCCCAUCGUCAAAAGGAUGUGAAUCCCCCUUACCUAUUCUACAAAGGUGCUCAGUCCGGGUAGUCACGCCCCUCCGGUCAGCCCCACCCAAUUCCACUAAAGCGAGAAAUCAGCCAGGCACCCGGAGAGCCCCUCCCCCACCCGGCGAGGCCUGGAAGGAAAAGGGAGCUCGGGAGAGGCCACAGACGGUGUCCUACUUUCUCGGGUCCCCAAGGAUCCUUUUUCUUAGUAAAAACCUGAAAGGACCAAAAACUAUAUAUCUCAAAUAAAAGCACAAGAAAUUCAACCAGCCGUAGAGAUUUUUGUAGGAGAACUUUUAGGGGACAACAGAAUUUGAGAUUUCACUAGGUGAGAAGUGGGAUUGGAUUUCAGUAGAAAAAAAUCCCGAGGGAACCAUUAGCGGAAACUAAGAAUGGGGAUGUAUUCCCCUCUAAAUGCAGUAGAGAAGAGUCAGGAGAGCUGGAAAGAGGCAGGUCCUGAAAAGCGAUUUCCCUGAACUGACUUUAAAAUAUCCUAUAUGAUAAGUGGACAGUUGUCAGCAGCAUGUGCGUCUCCCAUUAGGGGAAUGGUUAAGGAGAGGCUGGCAUAUUCUACGCUGUUUAUGAGAGUUUAUCAACAGGUGGAGGAGGAGCGCCAUAACGUAAAGGAAGGCUUGCGUUAGGCUCUGACGUGAAAAUCAGAGAAAAAUGCUGCCUGCAGAAGCGUAUCAUGGUAGGAACUGACAUACGAAAGAUAACUGGUAAACCUAAUUGUCACAAUCUGUCAUGGUGAACACGGGAUCUCAUGCAUUUGUGAAAACCCAUGGAACUGAAUGACACAAAGAUAAAACUUAAUGUAAAUGAUGGACUUGAGUUAAUAACAGUGUUUCAAUAUUGGUUCAUCAAUUUAACAACUGUACCACCUAAUGCAGGAUAUUAAUGCUAAGGGAACCGUGUGUGGGGAAGGCUAUAGGAAAAAUAUUUGUACUAUCUGCUCAAUUUUUCUGUAAACCUAAAAGUCUUCUAAAAAAUGAAAUCUAUUACUUUUGUUAACAAACUAAAAAUAAAUGAAAAACUAGAUGGAAAUAAAUCAAAAUGCUUAAUAGUACUGUUUCUAGAUGAUGAAAUUAUGACCAAUUUUUUUAUUUUUACUUUUUGUAUUUUCUACAUUCUAAUUUUGUCUAUAUUUAUGUGUCACUUUAUCAAUCAGGUAAAACAAAUUGUACAGUUUUAAAAUCUUGUCUGAGGGCCUGUUCUCUGAGGCAGAAACUGUAUUUGCUCAAAGUGAUCUGUUGUCUAGUUCUCUCUACACAGUAGGAACUUAAUACAUUUUGCUAAUAAAACAUAAGCACCUUUGUGUUUUUGGUUUUUUUUGAGAAAGAUUAGCCCUGAGC